rnacentral:rRNA from 1 species
AUUAAUAAGCGGAGGAAGAGAAACCAACCGGGAUUCCCGAAGUAAGGGCGACUGAAACGGGAACAGCCCAGCGCAUAACCUCGCGGUCCUUAGAUGGCCGUCGAGGGGUGUUGCGUUUCGGUGGGUCCAUCCCGUCCGAGCCGCUCACCGCCUAAGUCAUUGCUUGAAAGCAGCCCCCAGGAGGGUGAGAGGCCCGUGUGGCGGCGCCCGUAAAAGGGGUGUAGGCGGCUCGGUCGGAGGGAUUUUCACCGCAGAGUCGGGUUGCUUAGUACUGCAGCCCUAAGCAGGUGGUAAACUCCAUCUAAGGCUAAAUAUGACCACGAGACCGAUAGGUGACAAGUACCGUGAGGGAAAGCUGAAAAGGACUUUGAAGAGAGAGUUCAUAAGGACGUGAAACCGUUAGAAGCAUAAACGGGUGGAACCGCGAAGGUCGAACGAGGGGAUUCAGCUCGUCGGCCUCGGACGAGCAGGGACGGUAACAGAGAGUAAUCCGAAUGAGAGGACCCGGCAAUUUAGGGAUUAAGCCGCGGCCCCGUCCCUGUCGCCUGAGCGCCCGGCGGGCUUACUUCUCCCUCUAGUAGGAUCGCCGCGACCCGUCGAGGAUUGAGUUGUGUUUUUUAUUGAGGUCCCGAGGCCCGCGUCGGACUGGUAUCCCGCACCUUUUGCCGGGUGUGGGCGAUGACCGAUCGCGGAGCUGUACGGACCCCCUCGGAGGUCACUGCCAGGAUCCCUGUCUCCCCUUCGGGGGGGAAAGGGGGUCUCGCGGCGUGAAAGAUGUCGGUAAUCCACCCGA